GCUCUUCUAGUAUAACUAUUACAAUUGACUUCCAAUCUCUAAAAUCUGGUCACAACCCAGAGAAGAGCA
rnacentral:tRNA from 1 species